UACGAAGGGGGCUAGCGUUGCUCGGAAUCACUGGGCGUAAAGCGCACGUAGGCGGCUUUUUAAGUCAGGGGUGAAAUCCUGGAGCUCAACUCCAGAACUGCCUUUGAUACUGGACGGCUGGAGACCGGAAGAGGUCAGUGGAACUGCGAGUGUAGAGGUGAAAUUCGUAGAUAUUCGCAAGAACACCAGUGGCGAAGGCGGCUGACUGGUCCGGUUCUGACGCUGAGGCGCGAAAGCGUGGGGAGCAAACAGG
rnacentral:rRNA from 1 species